CCGCUAAGGUACAGAUGUAGUACUGAGUGCCGGGUAUAAAAGAUGUAACGCGUAAGAUGCGUCUCACACGUCCCUUCUCGUUUUGUUUGGAAUGUGCCGAGUGACCAACACUCGGGCGCCCACAUUUAAGGCUCUCUCUACUCCGGUCGGCUCGCUGGGCCCUGCCCUGCCCACUGCUUAUUAGGUUGGUCUAUAAUUUUUCCUGUUUUCGCCUUGGUUUUGCUUUGGUUUUCUGCUUCUCCUUUCAGCUUGCCCAUUCUGGCUUUAGUUAUAUUUUCCGCAUCUUUUUGGCGCUUUGCUUUUGCUAUUUUAGUUUUCUAACCAACAAAACAAAUUGAAUCACGUUCGCCUGAGAGAAACGUGAGUAUUUUAUUUUUUC
rnacentral:lncRNA from 1 species